GACGAACGCUGGCGGCGUGCCUAAUACAUGCAAGUCGAGCGGAUGAAAGAGGAGCUUGCUCAUCUAGAUUCAGCGGCGGACGGGUGAGUAACACGUGGGCAACCUGCCCUGUAGAUUGGGAUAACUCCGGGAAACCGGGGCUAAUACCGAAUAAUCCUACGGACCUCAUGGUCAGAUGUUGAAAGACGGUUUCGGCUGUCACUACAGGACUGGCCCGCGGCGCAUUAGCUAGUUGGUGAGGUAACGGCUCACCAAGGCCACGAUGCGUAGCCGACCUGAGAGGGUGAUCGGCCACACUGGGACUGAGACACGGCCCAGGCUCCUACGGGAGGCAGCAGUAGGGAAUCUUCCACAAUGGACGAAAGUCUGAUGGAGCAACGCCGCGUGAGUGAAGAAGGUUCUCGGAUCGUAAAACUCUGUUGUGAGGGAAGAACGAGUACCGGAGUAACUGCCGGUGCCUUGACGGUACCUCAUUAGAAAGCCACGGCUAACUACGUGCCAGCCGCCGCGGUAA
rnacentral:rRNA from 1 species